CAGCUUCUAUUCAACGCUGCAUCUACGUUUUUAGUGUUGUCCAUAACGAUCUGUCCGAUAAUUGGAUUUAACAGAUUUUCAAAGUGACUGUCAAAAGAAUUCUCUGAUAUAGUUAACGCUGUUUCCCAGGCGUCAUCCGUUGAAGUUGUAUCUACAUGAUUCUCGACGUUUUCCACGAUGUCGUCUAUUGUCUUCGAACCCAUCUUUUGUACUCUUCCGACAAUCCUAUCGUACGAUAUUUGGACCUGAUCAUCAAGGAACCUAUUCAUUAGGCAAACACAUAUAUCUACUAAAAUCAUAUCGAAUUCAUCCAAAGUUGUAGAAUUCACAAGAAGGGACAUGCAAUACAUGUUGAAACGAUACCAAACUUUUUCGCGGCGAUCAACAUUGCUUUCUCUAUUCCGCCUUUGACGCCCUAUGGCACUCAAAUUUUUAUGAACGAUAUGCAUGAAAUGACUACACCCGACAUGUGGUAUCCUAAGGACGAAGUCGCCUUCUGCACCAUUUUUAUGUAGCAACCGAUAUGCUCUAUUUAGGAACAUCACCAACGAUUCGUUAUUAAAUUCUCUAAGAAUUGCUAAGAUUCGCUGUCAUCUGCUUGAGGUGGGUGGUAUACUACACAAACAAUAAUACAUGAAAUUCCUCUGGGAAGCCGGUAAGGUCUCAGUUUAAUCCACAAACACUCAUGGUUAGGACAAUCUAGGUUUGGAAGGGUCACGAAGGGUAUUGAAGAUUUGACAAAUACGCAAACUCCUCCGCCCCGUUUCUCAACACAGUCAUUUCGAACUAAAGCAUAACCCUAAAUGUGUACACAGCUGUCAGGAACAUUUGAAUUUAGCCAAGUCUCAGUUAUUCCAGCCAGAUCUACCUCGUUUGUUUUUAAAACGACAUCCAAUUCAUCAAUUUUAUUAGAUAUAGCCCUCACAUUUGAUAGGAAGAGUUUUGGUAGUUGGGUGUCUCUAAUUGGGGCAGGUUUACUUAAAUGUUUCCUAAUUGUAGCUAUUUUUAUCAAAUUUUGUAAGUGCCUUCUCUCUUCUUAACUUUUAAAAUUGUUUUGCAGUUGGUAAUUCGAAUACUCGUCGACGUCGGCUGUUGAUUUAGCUUCUUUCAAACUGUUUAUUUGAAUAAUAAUGCUAUCCAUUUGAUUAAGUAUAUUAUCGACCCCUGACUUCAUUUUACUAAUUUCUUGGGAAUUCUUUUCAAUCCUUUUUUCAUGAUUCGAUUCAGCGAUUGCUAUAUCGAGUUUGGUUCCUUCUAGAUCGGCGGAUAGCUCGUUACAACGGCAAGAGGACUCCGAAGCACUUGAACGCGUGGCGCUAUUUAGUUCAACGACACUUGGAUUACCCAAAGGCGAUAUCAACCUUUGCUCAAUCACAUGGUUGUUAGCUUCAAGAAGAAGUGUUUUCUUCUUACACCACCAAGUCAUGAUUGGGACAUCAUCACACCAGAGUACUUUUCUUCAUUCUCCGCCAGGCGAUGUCUACACGCCGUCAAUUUUCAAAUAUUCGCGUUCCUUCGCCAACUGCGGUAUAAAUGCUUCCUUCUUAAAGCCGUAUUUCUGAGGCCACAUUUUGUCAAGAUGAUACCCCAGUACCCUUGCGGUCUUCUCCAGCCCUCUCCUAUUUCUCUUCCUUAGCCAUAGAUAGCAUUACCUCGAUCACAUUUUCGAACGAUACAAAACCAGGGGAACGUUUCUUACGUCGUACCAUCUUCACAGCGGAUGAAUAGAUUAAAUAUUUACAUUGUGAAUGAUAUAAAGUUAAAGUAGAAAUAUGAUCAGGGGUGGAUCCAAGUGCACAAAUUUGCAUUACAAAACAAACAAAGAUUUAACAAAGUGGUUAUUUUUAGCAGUUUUCUUGUGUUUAGUGCUGGAUUCGGGGAAUAUGAUAUAUGCAUGCGAGGUGAGGAUGUGCGGAACAUUGUGGUAGAGGAUGUGCGGAACAUUGUGGUAGAGGAUGUGCCUUUAUGACCCUAUGGCUAUGGUGAUGUUGAAAGAAGAAAGAAGCUUCCACAAAAAAAUUAGAUUACUGAUAGCACACCUUCAAGCAAUAUGUCCAGACACAAGUCCACCAGAUGUAAAAUAUUUUGAUAAUGCCACAAAGUUUGAACCAAGACAACUUGAUGGAAGCUCAUGUGGUGUUUUUGUAUGCAUGGUAGCUGAUUAUAUGGUCAAUGGUUUGGAAGGAAGACAUACCAUGUUUAAGGAAAUACAUGGCUGUUCGCCUAGCAAAUCCUGAAAAGUACUCCAAAUACCAAUAAGGAAACAAAGUGAACAUCACAACAAGGAUGACCAUGGCACAUACACACUUAAAGCAAAGGUUACAAAUAUUUUGUCUCUAUCAGAUGAUGGCUUGGAGCAGGUCUUUAAAGAAGUGUUAAAGAAAGGUGAUAAAGGAUUUUUAACAAUUAGCUUGGUUUGUAAGCGAUUUAGAGUCUUAGACAGAUAUAGUGGCUGCAGGGCGUGGUGGCUGGGGGGGCCGGGGGGGCCGCGGCCCCCCUGUGAAGCUCUUGAGAAGGGGCCCAAAUGCAAACGACAUAUCAACCUGAUGAAUUUCGAGCAGACAUGAAGGAAGCUAUACAAAGUGAGCUGCACCAAUUUUUCAAAUCAACUGACUUUAAGACGAUUCUAUCUGAAGCAGUAAAUACUCUCAUCGAACAGUCCGUCCAACAAGCUACAUUUCCUCUUCUAAAGCGAAUUGAAGCGCUGGAGACAGAGUUAACAAAUGUCACGAUAAAAGCGAAUGAAAAUGAGCAAUACUCAAGAAAAUAUAACCUACGAAUUAUAGGGUUGGACGAAACCGAUGGUGAAG
rnacentral:lncRNA from 1 species